AAUGUUGUGAGCCGUCACCAUGGUUGCGGGAUGAAAAAUGUAAAAAUAGCGGGCGCUGCCAUGGGCUUCCAAAAGCUUUCUCAAGGCCCUGUAGGAAGAAGUGUGAGAUGGAGAGAGAGGAAAACAGUGUGCAGGCUUCCAUCGUGUAACUGAAGGAGAUUGAGUUGCCUCUUCUCCAGAGAGAGCGGCGGGCACGGCCUAGCACCAGAAUGAUUAAGCCGCAGGUCUGACCUUCCUCUAAAAGGUCACAGACAGCUGUUAUAGUGAAAGAACAGCCUAUGCUGGGAAACUGGGUCUGCCAGAUAUACGUUGAUUCUGUGUGGUGUAACUUAGACCGGUGUCUAAAACUGCACGGCAACACAUCGAUGCAAUACACAACAUUUUAAUUUCAA